CAUCCUUUUCUUUCUAAUGGAAGGUGGAUUUUCAUUACAUUUUUCCGUUUGUGGUUUAGGUAGGACAGGUGAGCUGAAAAUAGUUUCACAAGUACACUAUAUGUGCCUUUACAUUUUUUUCCAUUCUACUUAAGGUAUGUGAUUUUUUAAGCGUCUCAAAUUUCAGUUUGGUUUGAUUUAAUGAUUUAUCAUUGUCUGAAACACUAGAGUUGUACUACUUGCAGGGGAAUUCCAGACAGAGUUCAUCCAUUCAGUAAAGGCAUAUGUUCAAACAUCUGUGGCUUUAGAUUCACUUGAAACUCUUGGUGAGUGUUGACACUUCCGAAUAAUGUUCAUCCUAGCUAUGAUUGUUUAUGUCAGUAUACAGUUUGCUCUCACCUUUUCCCCAAAGUGCAUGGGUAAGGCGCGGCAGGCGGCCGCUGCAGCUCGAGCCAUGGCCAUGGCCGGUGCAUGACAGUAAUAAUCAAAUGGUUUGUUGCCUACCUUACGCCGAGGAGGGGUUGCUUCUGUCGUCCUCACCGUCCGUGUCCAGCACCUCGCCCUUGCUCCGUCCAUGGACAAUGUUGCGUCCUGCCCCGACAUGCCCAAAUCUGAAGAGAAGAGGAGGAACAAACAGGGCGUCAGUCAGUCAGCCUCUUCGAUUCACGCAUGGGACUCGGUGGAAAUGCCAGCGCCGAGGAGGGAUUCAUCACCUAAUUGGCGCUUCGAGC
rnacentral:lncRNA from 1 species